rnacentral:lncRNA from 1 species
GAAACUACCCUGCCUUUCCCCCAGUUUUGGUCUGUGAACACAUUUGGGAAAUUCUCCUGAUCCUACCUCUACUCUCUUGAGAGAGAGAAACAAGGGGAAAAAAAGUUAAUUGCCUGAGGAUACACUGCUAGUGUUGCGGGACAAAUAGAGACGGGAGAGGCCAAACAGAGUUCAGGAGAACCCUUUAUUAUUAAGUGCGCUAGGGAGGGAAGCAAGAACUCGUGGUGCCUCGAGGAAUGUGAAACGAUGGAACACAGAUAAGCCUCUCCACGAAGAAACAGCGCAGAUUUGACCAAGAUCACACAAGUAGGAGUUGAGGAAUUGGAACCCACUAUGACUGACUCCAAAUUAAUAUAGUGUUUAUAGCCACUUACA